rnacentral:tRNA from 1 species
GGUGAGGUGUCCGAGUGGCUGAAGGAGCAUGCCUGGAAAGCGUGUAUACGGGAACGUAUCGGGGGUUCGAAUCCCUUCCUCACCA